rnacentral:rRNA from 1 species
GGACGAACGCUGGCGGCGUGCCUAACACAUGCAAGUCGAACGGGGUAAAGAGCUUCGGUUUUUUACUUAGUGGCGAACGGGUGAGUAACGCGUGAGAAACCUGCCUUUCAGUGGGGGACAACAGUUGGAAAACGACUGCUAAUACCGCAUAAUGUUAUUUGAGGGCAUCCUUAAAUAACCAAAGCUUUAUGUGCUGAAAGAUGGUCUCGCGUCUGAUUAGCUAGAUGGCGGGGUAACGGCCCACCAUGGCGACGAUCAGUAGCCGGUCUGAGAGGAUGAACGGCCACAUUGGGACUGAGAUACGGCCCAGACUCCUACGGGAGGCAGCAGGUGGGGAAUAUUGGGCAAUGGGGGAAACCCUGACCCAGCAACGCCGCGUGAAGGAAGAAGGCCUUCGGGUUGUAAACUUCUUUUAGCAGGGACGAAGAACGUGACGGUACCUGCAGAAAAAGCAACGGCUAACUACGUG